UUCCGUCUUGCUUUAACCUAUUUGUCAUAAAUACAGUGUUUCUUGUAUAUGAUUUUAAGAUGUUUGCUAAAUAUUAAAAAUAAUUUCAAUGUGUUCGAUUCUUGUAAAAUUUAUCAUAUUGAACAUGUGUAAAUUUUUGCUAUGUUCAUUGUACUUAAUAAUCUAUAUCCAUAUUUUGGAGUUGAUCAAUAUUUAUUAGUGGACCAUAAAGAAGUUUUGAAUGCAUGAAUAUAACUUGAGAUACCAUGCUUGGUUAUUUUGAAAUGCCAAAAUAACUGUAGGUACUUAUAAAUUGAAUAGAUAAUCCAGAUUAUUUUUCCUC
rnacentral:lncRNA from 1 species